GUGAAAUUUGAAAGGAGAGCAGGUUAGCACUCCCCUUGACAAGGAUGGAACACAUUUUGAUCGGACGGCACAUGAAAAAUGUUCGAUCAAACCAUUUUUUUUU